GUUCCCUAUGAUGCCUGUUAAACCAUGCUAAUGCUGAUAUCAUGAUGCUGAUAUCAUGAUUUUGACUUGUAGUUUAUGCUGAGGGAACU